rnacentral:tRNA from 1 species
GCCGGGAUAGCUCAGUUGGUAGAGCAGGGGACUGAAAAUCCCUGUGUCGGUGGUUCGACUCCGCCUCCCGGCACCA